AUUUCAUUUAUUCGGCUCUUUCAGCCGACCAGUUACUGUGUACUUCUUCCAUUUCUGCUCUUCUGCCGAAAUUGAUUCCUGCACAGUUCAUACAUUCGGCUCUUCCAGCCGAACCGAUUCUACAGUAAAGAUUUUCGAAUCUGCCUGACUCGAUCUCUCGUCAGCCGAAUCGCUUGAUCUGUCGAAGGGCACAAACUUCGAGGGUCACUAUCCGCAGCCGUUCCUCACCCCGACGCACUUCCCGAGGAGGAUCUUUGAUUGGGUCAAGGGUCGGAAAAUUCGGCUACCAAC
rnacentral:lncRNA from 1 species